CCAGCGUGUCCCUGUCCCUGGGGCUCCAGCCCUGCCCAGUGCCCAGCCAUGGCCGAGCAGCACGGAGAGCUGGAGGGGAUCAUCGUCAAGGACCAGCACACCAAGGAGAUCGACCUGGUCAACAGAGACCCCAAGCACAUCAACGAGGACGUGGUGAAGGUGGAUUUUGAGGAUGUGAUAGCCGAGCCCGUGGGCACUUACAGCUUCGACGGCGUCUGGAAAAGCAGCUACACCACCUUCACCGUCAGCAAGUACUGGUGCUACCGGCUGCUCUCCGCCCUCCUGGGCGUGCCCCUGGCCGUCCUCUGGGGCUUCCUCUUCGCCCUCAUCUCCUUCUGCCACAUCUGGGCAGUGGUGCCCUGCAUCAAGAGCUACCUGAUCGAGAUCCAGUGCGUCAGCAGGAUCUACUCCCUCUGCAUCCACACCUUCUGCGACCCGCUCUUUGAGGCGCUCGCCAAGAUCUGCAGCAACGUCCGAGUCGCUGUCCGCAAGGAGAUUUAGGUCCUGGCAGCUGCCCCAGCACCCCCACACUGCCCGCUCUGUGCGGGCUGCCUGCCCUGGGGCACACUGACACCCUGUCCGGUGAGGGAUCUGCACAUGGACACCCCUGUGAGAGAUCUGCACAUGGACAUCCCUGUCCAGUGAUGGACCUGCACAUGGACACCCCUGUGAGGUUCCUGCACAUGGACACCCCUGUCCAGUGAUGGACCUGCACAGGGACAUCCCUGUCCAGUGACAGACCUGCACAUGGACACCCCUGUGAUGGACCUGCACAUGGACACCCCUGUGAGGAACCCACAAAUGGACACCCCUGUGCAGUGAGGAACCCACACAGACCCCGUGGCACAGGAGCCCAGCACCGAGGCAGGGUCCCAGAGCAGAGCUGGCUCUCAGGGUGCUCUCUGCUCACCAUGGCCUGGUCCCAGAGCAGAGCUGGCUCUCAGGGUGCUCUCUGCUCACCGAGGUGGGCCAGGCUGCUCCUUACUCCAUCCCAAGCCAGAAGCCUUAGGAGAAGGAAGCCCAUCGUGGCCCAGGGAGCAGCCCAGAGCCCCUGAGCCCCUGCAGCAGCCCCUGCAGCAGCCCCUGCAGCACAGCCUGCAGUGCUGGGUGAGCAGUGGGGCUGCAGAGCUGCUGCUGGCCACGGCCCAGAGCCUGCCUGCUCCUGCCUCCCUCCGGGCUGGGCUGGGCUGACAGAAACUCCCCCCCAGGAGUUAUUGUUUGUGGUGGGGGCUUCUGCUGCGGUGGGAGCUUGUGCAUUAAACCGCUGCACAAAGAUUUUAGGGAUAGAAUAGCUAAACCAAAGUUUUUUUUCACGCCUACUUGCAUUUCAGCCAAGCUGUGGCAGCCAGAGCAGUCCAUGCAUGACAUGUUGUGUCUGAGCUGACCCUGGGCCUCUGCCAGCUGCAAACCCGCCCGUGGCACUUCCAUGCUCAAUGGUGUGCUCAGUUGUGGAGCAUCGAGGUGCCAGGGCAGGAGCCAGGUGGGAGCCAGCCCAGGGGCACACGGAGCGUUGGGAGCCUCAGCUGAGACAGGCCGGGCUCCGAGCCAGGCCUGGGCUGGUUUCUCUGGACCACCAGGCACGUGUCCAGCCGGUGCCAAGCCAGCAGGGUGUGUGUCCCACGGGGACAGGGCUGUCCCCCCGUGCUCCCCUGGGAUGCAGGAGGGAGCCUGUGCCGGGACCCCGCUGCUCCAGCCGCAGGGAAAGAGGAGCCAGGGGCACGAGGAUCCCUCAGAGCUGCUCCCUCCCUGUACUGCCAAUUAAUUGGUCGGAGCUGCACUUUCACUUUGAGGCCCUUGAAGGCUCUCUUGGCUCCAGCCUUAAGUGCUUUGCUGAACCAGGGCCCAGGAGGUCUCCUUGUUCAGGGGCUGCUCUCAAUUGUCUCCAUGUGAGCCUUCCCCUUAGAUUCCAACAAAGACUUGGAGCCAAAGACUCCUCUAGUGCCACGCCAAGGAUGAGAAAGAGCCAGGAUUUCUGCUGGAGCUCUUCCAAGGGCUUGGGAAUGUAUACUGCUGGUAUUCCAUAGCAAUGUGGUACCCAGGCUCCAGCAACAGCAGGGCCCAAGAAGGAUGGCGUGAUUAAAAAAAAUAAAAAAGAUACUUAGGUAAUUACAGGGAGGUGGGGGAAAGUCUCAAAGAAAACGUCAUUUUUUGUGAGAAUAAAAAUAAUUGAAAUCAAUUGUA